GGCAGAGCUGGGAAUCUGAAAGGGAAAGUCUGGCUGCAUAAACCCUCCAAAUGCUGUGCUGUCUCUUGAAGGAUCCUUGGGCCAUACCAAUGGCUCAGUUGAGGGCAAGAUCUAUCAAUGGCUGCAGUAGUGGGAAGAACAAGAUCAUCGGGGAGAAGGUCACAAAGGAGCAUGAUGUGAUGCCAAGCAGGGGGAUUAAAAUGCAAGAGCGAGGCAGGAAGCUGUGGCCAGAACGUUCUGAAGAGAAGGAAACAAGAGACAUUCAUUGGAAUGAUCUUCAUUGAAUUCUGCUUUGAGAUGCGAUGUUUAAGCUUGGGACUCAGCACCAGCAGAAUGUGGGAGACCAUGCAGAGGAGGUCGGUGGAGGAGGCAAGAACCAAACAAAUACAGAUGGAUGUCUCCAGAAAGGGUCUUUGACUCUGCAUUUGGAAGCAAGGCCAGCCCAAUCCACAGAGCAGAGGCGGCAUCUCCAGAUACAGGCCGGUUUCAGGAGCAUGGCAGCAUGUGGCCCUACAUUCAUCAUUAUUUCAGGUUAAGGCAUUCCCAGCAGCAGGACUCCAUGAAACAUGCUACCUCAAGUAGUCUGUCAUUUAACAUGCGAGCUCUAUCAUCUAAAACAUUUCCUAGAAAUUCAAGGCCCUACAGGAAUUGAAAACAAGACUCUAUAUUUGAGAAAGAGAUUGCUGGGGGAAAGAGCUGAAGUUUGGGAACAGCAGAAUGUAGAUGCUGGAUCCCCACAAAAAAGAGGAGGAAGCUUUCUAAUGCAGUCUUUCAUAGUGUAUCAGCAAGAGGUAGACACAGUGAGUUCAUCCUACCUCUUCUUCUUUACAGGAGUAGUAGCAGAAGUGGAUGCUAUGGUGUUGGAGGUGUUGGCAUUCAAUGAACCGCCAGGUUGCCUGUUUAAUGACAAGAACAACAAUUAAUCCCACUCUCAAACUUUUUCAUUUCAGCCUACCUUUGAAAAGUCUUAAAUUCUACUCAUAUUCCUGCCUGCUCUCUGUUCAUAAAAUGUUUCACUUGGGGAUAGAAAAACAGCCAAAAAUCUUCUUCCUUAGUUGACAUAUUUUAGAAGUUGUCAGGUUCUCAUAGAAC
ensembl:lncRNA novel transcript, antisense to SCEL